ACCAACUGUACACUGACGCUCAUGCACGAAAGCGCGGGUAGCGAACAGGAUUAGAUACCCUGGUAGUCCGCGCGGUAAACGAUGAUUACUAAUUGUGUGUCUUAUGAGACACGUGACCAAGUGAAAGCGAUAAGUAAUCCACCUGGGGAGUACGGCGGCAACGCUGAAACUCAAAGGAAUUGACGGGGGCCCGCACAAGCGGAGGAACAUGUGGUUUAAUUCGAUGAUACGCGAGGAACCUUACCCGGGCUCAAACGUAUGAUGAGCGUUCAGAGAUGGACGGGCCUAGUAAUAGGAGUCAUACGAGGUGCUGCAUGGUUGUCGUCAGCUCGUGCCGUGAGGUGUCAGGUUAAGUCCUAUAACGAGCGCAACCCCUGUUGACAGUUACUAACGAGUCAAGUCGAGGACUCUGUCGAGACUGCCGCCGUAAGGUGCGAGGAAGGUGGGGAUGACGUCAAAUCAGCACGGCCCUUACGUCCGGGGCGACACACGUGUUACAAUGGGCGGUACAGAGAGUUGCUAUCCCGUGAGGGUGCGCUAAUCUUGAAAGCCGUUCUCAGUUCGGAUCGGAGUCUGGAACUCGACUCCGUGAAGCUGGAU
rnacentral:rRNA from 1 species